rnacentral:rRNA from 1 species
UACGUAGGGUGCGAGCGUUAAUCGGAAUUACUGGGCGUAAAGAGCGCGCAGGCGGUCGUUCAAGUCGCGUGUGAAAGCCCCCCGGCUCAACUGGGGAGGGUCACGCGAUACUGAUCGACUCGAAGGCAGGAGAGGGAAGUGGAAUUCCCGGUGUAGUGGUGAAAUGCGUAGAUAUCGGGAGGAACACCAGUGGCGAAGGCGACUUCCUGGCCUGUUCUUGACGCUGA